rnacentral:lncRNA from 1 species
UGGGGGUCUGUGAGGUCUAUGGAGUCUAUGGGUCUCUCUGUGGGAUCUUGGUGCUCUAUGGGUUAUAUGGGGGUCUAUGGAGUCUUAGUGGGGUUCUCUAUGUGGAUCUAUGGUUCUAUGGGUUAUAUGGGGGUCUAUGGGGUCUCUAUGGGUCUCUAUGGGGGGCUAUGGGGUCUAUGGGGGUCUGUGGGGUCUAUGUGAAUCUAAUGGGGUCUAUGGGUUAUAUGGGGGUCUAUGGAGUCUAUGGGGUCUCUAUGUGGAUCUAUGGGGUCUAUGGGUUAUAUGGGGGUCUAUGGGUCUCUAUGGAGUCUAUGGGAUCUCUAUGGGGAUCUAUGGGGUCUCUAUGGGGCUCUAUGGAGUCUAUAUGGGUAUCUAUGGUGUCUAUGGAGUCUAUGGGGUCUCUAUGUGGAUCUAUGGGGUCUAUGGGUUAUAUGGGGGUCUAUGGUGUCUAUGGGGUCUCUAUGUGGAUCUAUGGAGUCUAUGGGUAUCUAUGGGGGUCUAUGGGGUCUAUGGGGUCUCUAUGUGGAUCUAUGGGGUCUAUGGGUUAUAUGGGGGUCUAUGGGGUCUCUAUGGGGUCUCUAUGUGGAUCUAUGGUGUCUAUGGGGUCUCUAUGGUGUCUAUGGAGUCUAUGGGGUCUCUAUGUGGAUCUAUGGGGUCUAUGGGGGUCUGUGGGGUCUAUGGGAGUCUAUGGGGCUCUAUGGGGUCUAUGGGGGCCUAUGGAGUCUAUGGGGGUCUGUGAGGUCUAUGGAGUCUAUGGGGUCUCUAUGUGGAUCUACGGUGUCUAUGGGUUAUAUGUGGAUCUAUGGAGUCUAUGGGGUCUCUAUGGGGAUCUAUGGGGUCUCUAUGGGGAUCUGUGGGGUCUAUGGGGAUCUAUGCGGUCUCUAUGGGGAUCUAUAGGGAUCUAUGGUGUCUAUGGGGAUCUAUGAGGUCUCUAUGGGGAUCUAUGGAGUCUAUGGGGUCUCUAUGGGGAUCUAUGGGGUCUCUAUAGGGAUCUAUGUGGUCUCUAUGGGGUCUAUGGUGUCUGUGGGGGUCAAUGGAGUCUAUGGGGUCUCUCUGUGGAUCUAUGGUGUCUAUGGGUUAUAUGGGGGUCUAUGGGGUCUAUAUGGGUAUCUAUGGUGUCUAUGGAGUCUAUGGGGUCUCUAUGUGGAUCUACGGGGUCUAUGGAGUCUAUGUGGUCUCUAUGGGGCUCUAUGAUGUCUAUGGGGUCUCUAUGGGGGUCUAUGGGGUUUAUGGGGGUCUAUGGGGGUCUGUGGGAGUCUAUGGGGUCUAUGGGGGUCUCUGUGGGGUCUCUAUGGUGAUCUAUGGAGUCUAUGGGAUCUCUAUGGGGAUCUAUGGGGUCUAUGGGGGUCUAUGGUGUCUAUGGGGGUCAAUGGAGUCUAUGGG